CUCACUCUCAUUCCUCUUUUCACGUUCCCUCUCACUCUCAUUCCUCUCUUCCUCUUCGUCUCAUUUCUCUCUUUACGUUUUCUCUCAGUCUCAUUGCGUUCGUCUCAUUCCUCUCUUCACGUUCCCUCUCACUCUCAUUCCUCUCACGCUCCGCUGCCUCUUUCUGCUCACGACGCUCCGCUGCCUCUUUCCGCUCACGACGCUCCGCUGCCUCUUUCCGCUCACGCAGCUCCGCUGCCUCUUUCCGCUCACGCAGCUCCGCUGCCUCUUUCCGCUCACGCAGCUCCGCUGCCUCUUUCCGCUCACGCAGCUCCGCUGCCUCUUUCCGCUCAUGCAGCUCCGCUGCCUCUUCCUCGAAUUCUCUGAAGUCUAACCAAAUUGGUGGGGAUUGUGUUUCGUUUGGUGGAGAAAUUAGCGGCGUUAACACGAGAGAGAGGUGCAGGAGGGAGCCUUAUCCAUAGCGGGGAUUGGAGAAUUUUGAAGUGAUCAAGGUAAAAUCUUGAAAAGUGCUGGAUGGGACGUUAGUAUUGGUGGAUCACAAGGUACUGGAACCCUUCGUAAUUUUUCUCGACCACCUCAGUUUAGAGAGAAGAUAGCUGAAGCUUCACAUAAUCAGGUAACCCAAAGAAUCCAGAGAGUGGUUAUCAAAGGGAUCUGCUAAUAAAAGGGCACAGUGAGUCACUUGAAAGUUCCUCACCAUGAUGAGCAUCUGGACAAUCACACUGAAGAUGUAAAUGACUCUUUUCAUAUUGAUGUUUGAGUGCUAUAAAUUGUGAUCAAGGCUUCACAGCUUCAGAGCACUGCAAUGGAAACGAUGGAAGCUGUUGAGUUAGAAAAGCAGAAACAUAAUAAUACUAAAAUGGAAUUUCUUGCACGUUUAACUAAAUUGGAGAUCUUUAAUGAUUCAUCUCCCAUGGAAGUUGCAGACAUGGAAGAAAUUAGAAGGAACUGGGCUUCUUUUAUUUUAAGUGUUAGUAGAAACUUGGCUACACUUAAAUAGUGUAUGUACAUUAAUGUAAUAUUUGGAUUUAAUAUAUAG